rnacentral:rRNA from 1 species
UACGGAGGGUGCAAGCGUUAUCCGGAUUCACUGGGUCUAAAGGGUGCGUAGGUGGGCAGGUAAGUCAGUGGUGAAAUCUCCGGGCUUAACUCGGAAACUGCCAUUGAUACUAUCUGUCUUGAAUACCGUGGAGGUUAGCGGAAUAUGUCAUGUAGCGGUGAAAUGCUUAGAUAUGACAUAGAACACCAAUUGCGAAGGCAGCUGGCUACACGAAUAUUGACACUGAUGCACGAAAGCGUGGGGAUCAAACAGG